GAUGAACGCUAGCGGCAGGCUUAAUACAUGCAAGUCGAGGGGUAUAAAGUAGCUUGCUAUUUUAGAGACCGGCAAACGGUGCGGAACACGUACACAAUCUAACCUUAUCUGGGGGAUAGCCCAUAGAAAUGUGGAUUAAUACCCCAUAGUAUUACGGAGUGGCAUCAUUUUGUAAUUAAAGAAUUUCGGAUAAGGAUGAGUGUGCGUCUGAUUAGGUAGUUGGCGGGGUAACGGCCCACCAAGCCGACGAUCAGUAGCUGAUGUGAGAGCAUGAUCAGCCACACGGGCACUGAGACACGGGCCCGACUCCUACGGGAGGCAGCAGUAAGGAAUAUUGGUCAAUGGACGGAAGUCUGAACC
rnacentral:rRNA from 1 species